rnacentral:lncRNA from 1 species
UGUUUGAGGUUGGCCGCGCUUCGGGGAACGAUGAAAGGGCUUGGGGGUGCUGGAGGAGGAGGCGGCACCGGUUGUUUGUCCAUUGUUACAAUUUUGGAUGUAGUUCGUAUGUUUUGUGUUGUAAAGUGACCGACAUUCAUAUACCAGAGAAUGGUGGCAGCAGUAAUAGGACCUGGGAUGGGUCCGGGUCCGUUCCUGUGUGACUAACUUAUUUAAGUUAGUCUCUCUUGAUGUGCAUGUUCGGCUUCGCAGGUGGUGUGGUACCAGUCUGCCGUGCGUCUGACGUGUUUCCUCGAUGCUACAGUCGUAUGACGCGACACUGCCGUGGCUGGGUGCGCGCCAUGAGGGCAGGGAUGGCGGUCAGUACUGCAGCUGUGAUGUUCUUUGCAACUGCAGCGCUAUUGAGGACGCUGUGGAAAGCUGGAACGUGGGCUAGUUUUGGCUUGCCUUGCGCCUGCUACGAGCUUUUGAAAGUCGCGGACUGCCCUGGCCUGGCCUGGCCAGUCUUGAGCUCAUCCCUUAAACAUGUCCAUCUGCGCGGCAUAUCGGGAAGGCAACGCACAAGAUGCCGUAGAGGAAAGCUUUGGGUGCUGGAUGGGUUGGCUGGUUUGGGAGGUGGAUGUGAUUGGGUUAAGCACAUUAAGGAAUGCAAUUUUUGGCCACACACAUCAAGGAGAGGCUGUGAUUCGUCGGCAGAGCUUGGAGCCAAAGCUUGUAACGUGGAUGCUCGAUGAGCUGUCCCACUUCAGAGCAACUCUUCUGGUUGAAUGCUCCGGCAACCGGCAUCCAUAGCAUCCAACGUGUCAUUGCCAUGAAGAUGCUAGUAUAUAAACUUUAAAGACACAUUAUUACUAUGGUGGAUAAUCAGUACCGGUGGCAAGUGGAGAAACAGGCUCUAAUUGGUGGACGCAAUAGAAAGUGGUCCAUGGGAAAGCCUGCAAUAUUUUCCUCCAGGAAAACAACUCACGAUGCAUAAUCAAAAGAAACGGGCGAUGCAGUGAUCAGGUUACGAGUUGGAAGGUACGUCACCGUAGCAAACCAACAUCUCAAAAGCAACACAGGAGUGGCAACAGUACCUACAGUGAAAAUCAGGCCCGUUUUGUGUUUCAGGGCAUAAAAACCGACGGACCUUAGGGCGGUUGUACGGUUGCACCGAGGACACCCAAUUUGAUAAUCCUACCGCUUGUUGACGCUUA